UACGGGGGGAGCAAGCGUUGUUCGGAUUUACUGGGCGUAAAGCGCACGUAGGCGGCUUUGUAAGUUAGAGGUGAAAGCCCGGGGCUCAACUCCGGAAUUGCCUUUAAGACUGCAUCGCUAGAAUUGUGGAGAGGUAAGUGGAAUUCCGAGUGUAGAGGUGAAAUUCGUAGAUAUUCGGAAGAACACCAGUGGCGAAGGCGACUUACUGGACACAUAUUGACGCUGAGGCACGAAAGCGUGGGGAGCAAACAGG
rnacentral:rRNA from 1 species